rnacentral:misc_RNA from 1 species
GUGACACUGUAGUACUGUAGUAAGUACCUCCUGGUCCUUGUGGACUACUAUGGUUAUGACUGAGUCAGUACACAGUACAGUAAGUUGAAUUGCAGUAGUCUUUGGAGUGUCUUUUUCAACCUAACCUAUUUUAUUAUAUUAUUAGUUAUUGCUUUAUAUACCUACUAAGACUACUUUUGUAAUAUCAAUGAUAAAACAGAAUAAAAUAGAAAAUACAUUAGAUCGUGAUAUGUGAUGGCUCCGUCAAUGCCCAAUUUUCGUGUAAAUAUCAAUCGUUUUAUUAAUGAUUCUCUAUUAUUUCAAUAUUUAAUAAUAUUAUUUGGAGUAUUUAAUUUAUCGUUGUGUCUCUACGAGGAUCAAGUUGGAAAAUUUGAUUGGAGACAAAAUUAUGUUGGAGAAAUUAAAUUUUCAAGUUUUGACACUGUUUCUGCAGCGGCUAAAUUAAUUGUUGCUACUGAGGAAAAUGUUGUUGCUGCGUUGAAUUUAAAGUCAGGUCAAAUAUUAUGGAGAAGAGUAUUAGAACGUGGAUAUGCGGGUAAAAUUCAUGCAUUAGGUGGAAUAUCAGAUGGAGAUUUAAUAUCUGUAAGCGGUGGAGUGCCCGCUAUCGUACGUGUUUGGGAUUUAGCUACUGGACAUAUUUUAAAUGAGUGGCCUUUAGCUGAACAAAAUCCUGAAAGACUAGAUACUCCAUUCAUAUCAUUUUCUACAUUUGGAUUAUACUCAACUGAAAGAUUAGAAGAUGUCAAAUGGCACUUAAAAGAUGGCACAUUGCAUCACAUUCUACCGAUUUACAGCAGUGGUGUUGAAGUUACUUCGUAUGACAGCAAAACUGGUGAAAAAUUAGACACAAGAAAAGUUUCUGCGCCGUUUAUAACGCCGGAGACCGAAUGUGUUUUAGCGGCACCUUAUCUAGGAUGUCUUAAAGGCAAUACCUUUGAUGAUUCACUAGCCAUACUAUUUCUAGUCCACUUAUUUGAUAAUAAUUCACAACCACAGUCUAUAACAAUAAAUAAUAUAUUCGGCGCUGGUGCUAAAGGCCCAUUCCAUGUUAAAUCAAUACCUGGUGACGAAUCAGUUUUGACAAUAAUUGCUGAUGGUGAUAAUAGACAACGUAUAUUAAUACCUGGCAAUCCAGCAAAUACUAUUCCUAGAGAUAUUCCUGCAAAUGCGAAUUUGUAUGUUACAACUAUUGAUAACGAGAAAAUCUUACUUGAGACGACGUAUAAAAAUGGGGUAACAGAAAUAAAAGCUGUUAAAUUAUUAACAUCAGAACUUCUCGAAGAUUAUUCGGCAACUACGUCACAUGAAUCACUAUUCUCACCAAUCAUAAAAGCAUCUGUUUGCCCAAAAUUAAGUAAAGGAAUAAUGUGCAGGCAUCUAUUGUCAUCUGAAGAUCACAGUGUUGCAUUACUGCAGCACAAUAAAUUAAUAUGGACACGUGAAGAAGCUUUGGCUAGUAUAAUAACUGUUGAAAUGGUUGAACUACCAAUGUCUGAUCGUGACCAAACGCUUGAAACAGAGUUCGAUCAAAAAGAAAGUAUCGAUAUAGACGGUUCAUGGGAUAUUAUUGGAAUGUUUACAAGAAGACUGACGGCUCAGAUGAAUCAGGUGAGAUCAUUAUUCCAAACAACUUUUGACAUAAAUUUACCGCAAUCAAAUCAACGAGCUGAUCUUGUCAGAGAUAAAUUUGGAUUACACAAAAUGAUCGUUGUUGUAACAUCUGCCGGAAAGUUGUUUGGAAUUGAGUCAAAGAAAGGUGAAGUUAUAUGGCAGCUAAGAGUAAAUGAUAUAACUAGUCUUAAAAGUGAUGCGAAUACCAUGCUCCUGUUUGUCCAAAGAGGAAGUCGGCAUUUCCCGCACCCUCCACAGUGUGCGUUGUUAGCUUUAGAUAAGAAAUCAGGAGAAGGUGUAAUAUAUACAUUGAACCCAAUAACGGGUCAGCCAAUCGAUGGAUUAAUUAAAUUAGGAUAUAAAUUAAAACAGUCAAUGUUAUUGCAUAUAACGACGGAUGAUUUUCUUCGUCCAAUAUUACUUCUUGAUACACGUGAUAAAGUUCACGUAUUUCCAGAAAAUGCAACGGCUGUGGCAGCUUCUGUUGGUAAAAAAACAUAUUUAUUUACGGGUGAUCAAGAGACUGGUGUAUUGUCAGGAUUUUCUCUUGCAUACAGUACUUCAAAGGAAUUAGUUGCUCAUAAGGUAUGGGAGUUGGUACUGUCGCCGAAAAAUCAAAAAAUAACUCAUAUCGUCUCGAAAAAUUCUCUUGAGCACGUUCACUCACAAGGUCGUGUUCUGGGAGAUCGAUCAGUACUGUACAAGUACAUUAAUCCAAAUUUAGUUGCUAUUUUAACUCAAGGUGUUGGUAAUUCAUAUAAGAAUACACUUAAUUUGUAUCUUCUGGACGUAGUGUCCGGUGCAAUGAUAUUUUCAAUAACUCACAAACGAGUGCGUGGACCAUUUCAUAUAGUACAUUCUGAAAACUGGCUAAUUUAUAGUUACUAUAAUGAUAAGAGCCGUAGAACUGAAAUCGCAACAUUAGAGCUUUACGAGGGUAAAGUUCAAAGCAAUACCACAGUGUUCUCGUCGUUGACCACAACGCGAUUACCUUUAGUCGAAAGACAAGCAUUUAUUUUUCCUGCAACUAUUGAAACAAUGCAGGAAACUAUUACUGAGAAAGGAAUCACUAGUAAACACAUACUAGUAUCUCUUGCUAAUGGUGGAAUUUUGGAGUUACCGUGGAUGUUGGUUGAUCCAAGGCGGCCUAUUAAUCCCGAAUUAAGGGAAGAAGGUGUUAUACCUUAUAUGCCAGAGAUACCAAUCCACAUGGAUGCCAUUAUUAAUUAUAACCAAAGUGUAUUCAGGGUAUCAGGAAUUCAUACAAGUCCCAGUGGCCUUGAAAGUACUUCUUUAGUGUUUGCUCACGGUAUUGAUUUAUUUUAUACCCGUGUGGCUCCAUCAAAAACAUUUGACGUUUUGAAAGAAGACUUUGACUAUUAUCUUAUCAUAUUAGUCCUUUCGGGGCUGUUAAUAGCGUCUUACAUAACUAAAAAAUUGGCAUCGCAAAAAGCACAGAAGCAAGCGUGGAAAUAAUGUCAUCACAUCGCCAUCACAGAACAUAUUAUAAAAGAAAAACAAAAAAAAAAGUUUAUUUCAAUCACUUUCUUUUUUAAUUCGUCUUUAUUCACAAAUUAGAUAAUUCUUAUAAAUAUUUAAAUAAAAUGUCAUGGUCAUGGAUCAUGACAAUAGUAAUUUAUAAACAAGCCCCUUUUUGUAAAUGGCUCGUAUGUAAAAUAAUUUAUGAAAAAUACGUAAUGUAUGUUAAGAAAUGAUAAGAUUAUUAAAUAGGUAAAUGAAUUUGAUUUUUUUUUUUCUGUAAAGAUUACCUUCAGCGUUUUAGACACAAAUUUGUAAUGUGUUUUUUAAAUUAAAACUUUCUUUGUUUACAAAUAACUGUUUUAUUUAUUAUUGUUGUUGUAUUGUACAGUACGAUGUAUUUAUUUAUUUAAUUAUUAAUGCGAGUUUAAGAACUAGGUUUUUGUUUAUAUAAAUGUUAAAUUACAUUCGAUUAUUUUGUUUAUGAAUGAAUUAUUGUUAUAGAAGAAACAGGAAUGACAAACAGAUUUUGAUGAUGUGAUUUGCGUAAUUUCAUUUAUACACGUGGGAGUAUUUGAUAGAUAAGUAAAUGCGGGUAUUCUGAAGAGUAUUGAUUAUAACUUGCGGCUGCGCAACUACCUAAUGCCGAUCACAUGCCUACAUUCAUUAUUACGCGGGGGUACAUGAUAAGAAUAAAAAACAGAGCGAAUAGAACGCACGCGGUUCACUAUUUUAAAGACUAUUAUGUAGGAAAGUGCUAAUCUUACACGAAUAGUUACUGAUUGUCAAGUGAAAUUACAUUAUUUUGAACG